rnacentral:rRNA from 1 species
UGGGGAAUAUUGCACAAUGGGCGAAAGCCUGAUGCAGCGAUGCCGCGUGCGGGAAGAAGGCCCUAGGGUUGUAAACCGCUUUCAGUAGGGAAGCGGUACCUACAGAAGAAGGUGCGGCCAACUACGUGCCAGCAGCCGCGGUGACACGUAGGCACCAAGCGUUGUCCGGAUUUAUUGGGCGUAAAGAGCUCGUAGGCGGUUUGGUAAGUCGGGUGUGAAAACCCUGGGCUCAACCCAGAGAGGCCACUCGAUACUGCCAGACUUGAGUACGGUAGGGGAGUGGGGAAUUUCUAGUGUAGCGGUGAAAUGCGCAGAUAUUAGAAGGAACACCAGUGGCGAAGGCGCCACUCUGGGCCGUAACUGACGCUGAGGAGCGAAAGCAUGGGUAGCAAACAGGAUUAGAUACCCGGGUAGU